UGAGAGAUGGCUCAGCGGUUAAGAGCACUGACUGCUCUUCCAGAAGACCUGGGUUCAAUUUCCAGUACCCCAU
rnacentral:tRNA from 1 species